rnacentral:rRNA from 1 species
GUCGAGCGGCGGACGGGUGAGUAAUGCCUAGGAAAUUGCCCUGAUGUGGGGGAUAACCAUUGGAAACGAUGGCUAAUACCGCAUAAUGCCUACGGGCCAAAGAGGGGGACCUUCGGGCCUCUCGCGUCAGGAUAUGCCUAGGUGGGAUUAGCUAGUUGGUGAGGUAAUGGCUCACCAAGGCGACGAUCCCUAGCUGGUCUGAGAGGAUGAUCAGCCACACUGGAACUGAGACACGGUCCAAACUCAUACGGGAGGCAGCAGUGGGGAAUAUUGCACAAUGGGCGCAAGCCUGAUGCAGCCAUGCCGCGUGUGUGAAGAAGGCCUUCGGGUUGUAAAGCACUUUCAGUCGUGAGGAAGGUGGUGUAGUUAAUAGCUGCAUUAUUUGACGUUAGCGACAGAAGAAGCACCGGCUAACUCCGUGCCAGCAGCCGCGGUAAUACGGAGGGUGCGAGCGUUAAUCGGAAUUACUGGGCGUAAAGCGCAUGCAGGUGGUUUGUUAAGUCAGAUGUGAAAGCCCGGGGCUCAACCUCGGAAUAGCAUUUGAAACUGGCAGACUAGAGUACUGUAGAGGGGGGUAGAAUUUCAGGUGUAGCGGUGAAAUGCGUAGAGAUCUGAAGGAAUACCGGUGGCGAAGGCGGCCCCCUGGACAGAUACUGACACUCAGAUGCGAAAGCGUGGGGAGCAAACAGGAUUAGAUACCCUGGUAGUCCACGCCGUAAACGAUGUCUACUUGGAGGUUGUGGCCUUGAGCCGUGGCUUUCGGAGCUAACGCGUUAAGUAGACCGCCUGGGGAGUACGGUCGCAAGAUUAAAACUCAAAUGAAUUGACGGGGGCCCGCACAAGCGGUGGAGCAUGUGGUUUAAUUCGAUGCAACGCGAAGAACCUUACCUACUCUUGACAUCCAGAGAACUUUCCAGAGAUGGAUUGGUGCCUUCGGGAACUCUGAGACAGGUGCUGCAUGGCUGUCGUCAGCUCGUGUUGUGAAAUGUUGGGUUAAGUCCCGCAACGAGCGCAACCCUUAUCCUUGUUUGCCAGCGAGUAAUGUCGGGAACUCCAGGGAGACUGCCGGUGAUAAACCGGAGGAAGGUGGGGACGACGUCAAGUCAUCAUGGCCCUUACGAGUAGGGCUACACACGUGCUACAAUGGCGCAUACAGAGGGCAGCAAGCUAGCGAUAGUGAGCGAAUCCCAAAAAGUGCGUCGUAGUCCGGAUUGGAGUCUGCAACUCGACUUCCAUGAAGUCGGAAUCGCUAGUAAUCGUGGAUCAGAAUGCCACGGUGAAUACGUUCCCGGGCCUUGUACACACCGCCCGUCACACCAUGGGAGUGGGCUGCAAAAGAAGUAGGUAG